rnacentral:rRNA from 1 species
GAUGAAUGCUGGCGGCGUGCCUAAUACAUGCAAGUCGAGCGGCAGCGCGAGUAGUUUACUACUUGGCGGCGAGCGGCGGACGGCUGAGUAACGCGUGGGAACGUGCCCCAAAGUGAGGGAUAAGCACCAGAAAUGGUGUCUAAUACCGCAUAUGGUCUUCGGAUUAAAGGAUUUAUCCGCUUUGGGAGCGGCCCGCGUUUGAUUAGAUAGUUGGUGAGGUAAUGGCUCACCAAGUCGACGAUCAAUAGCUGGUCUGAGAGGAUGAUCAGCCAGACUGGAACUGAGACACGGUCCAGACUCCUACGGGAGGCAGCAGUAAGGAAUCUUCCACAAUGGGCGAAAGCCUGAUGGAGCAACGCCGCGUGAAGGAUGAAGGCCCUCGGGUUGUAAUCUUCUUUUAUGAGUGAAGAAUAUGACGGUAACUCAUGAAUAAGCACCGGCUAACUACGUGCCAGCAGCCGCCGUAACAC